rfam:Nadsonia fulvescens var. elongata DSM 6958 unplaced genomic scaffold NADFTscaffold_5, whole genome shotgun sequence.
GGCCGGCUGGCGCAAUGGUUAGCGCAUCGGUUUUCGGUACCGAAGGUUGCAGGUUCGAGUCCUGCGUCGGUCG